AGAGUUUGAUUAUGGCUCAGGAUGAACGCUAGCUACAGGCCUAACACAUGCAAGUCGAGGGGUAGCGUGAGGGAAGCUUGCUUCCCUGACGACGACCGGCGAAUGGGUGAGUCACGCGUGUCCAACCUGCCCCGUGCCCGGGGAUAGCCCUUGGAAAUGAGGAUUAAGACCCGAUAUGUGGCGCUUCCGCAUGGCGGCGCCAUGAAGCAGGCACGGGAUGGGGACGCGUCGGAUUAGCUUGACGGCGGGGCAACGGCCCACCGUGGCGACGAUCCGCAGGGGUUCUGAGAGGAAGGUCCCCCACACUGGCACUGAGACACGGGCCAGACUCCUACGGGAGGCAGCAGUGAGGAAUAUUGGUCAAUGGGCGGGAGCCUGAACCAGCCAAAGUAGCGUGCAGGACGACGGCCCUACGGGUUGUAAACUGCUUUUCCGGGAGGAUAAAGUGAGCCACGCGUGGUUCAUUGCAGGUAUCCCGGGAAUAAGGACCGGCUAAUUCCGUGCCAGCAGCGGC
rnacentral:rRNA from 1 species